UACGGGGGGAGCAAGCGUUGUUCGGAUUUACUGGGCGUAAAGGGCGCGUAGGCGGCCACCGCAAGUCGAUUGUGAAAUCUCCGGGCUUAACCCGGAAAGGUCAACCGAUACUGCGGGGCUAGAGUGCAGAAGGGGCAACUGGAAUUCUCGGUGUAGCGGUGAAAUGCGUAGAUAUCGAGAGGAACACCUGCGGCGAAGGCGGGUUGCUGGGCUGACACUGACGCUGAGGCGCGAAAGCCAGGGGAGCAAACGGG
rnacentral:rRNA from 1 species